rnacentral:lncRNA from 1 species
AGUUCUUUUAGACAAAACCUUCCAAUUUUUCUCCCCAAAUCAUUUUAGUAUCUUCACUCCCAUUUUUCCCCCAAAUCAUCUUCGCCUCUCCGCUCCUCUCUCUCCUCUCUAACACUUUCUCUCUCGUUGCUCUUCCUCUACCGCUUGUUCUCCUCUCUAACCCAAAUCAUUUCAGUAUCUGCCGCUCGAUACUCGAUCAACCACUCAUCAUCUUCUACUUGAAUUGGGCACACUUUUUCAGAUCGUGAAACCCUAGGCAUCGUGGGAUCCGUUCUCAUCUCUGCUCUUCUUGUCGAAUUGUAAGUCGCAUCAUCUUCUUCUACUUGGAUGCGCGUGUCUUGUUUAGUUGUCCGUUGAUAUCUCAACGUAUCUCCCAGAGUCGGAGAGCCUUCUCAGGUCCUCUUUCUCUCAAAUGUAUUUAUUUUUUUAGAAAUUCAUAAAUUAAAAUGUGUAUUGGGAUAUUUUAGCAAUGUUUUGUGCCCCUUUGAGCAGGGUUGAGCAUUGCAUCCAUGGGAAAAGGCUGCAAUCAACAGUACUGUGUGUUCCCAUUAACAAGUCUCUAAAUUGGGUAAGGAUACAUGUUUUUCUUUGACUUGAGUUUCGUUCAGAAAUAAGUGUUUUGUUAUUUCAUUUAAUUAGAUUAUAGGAAGCUAUCUUUUUUGUUAACCCUCAAUUUUAGUGAUAAUAAUUAAUUGUGCUGAUGUGAUUUAAUGUCAAACAAACCUAUUAAAAAUUGUAUUUUUGGUGUAAUUAGCUAAAACUAUUAUAACUGCUGGAUAAGUGGAACACAGUACAUGCAAUGCAGUUGGCAGUUUCUGCCACGUAACAAGAGCAACAAUUGAAAGGCUUGGAGGAAGA